rnacentral:misc_RNA from 1 species
AAGUCGUAACAAGGUAUCCGUAGGUGAACCUGCGGAUGGAUCAUUAAAGUAUAGACUGAGAUGGCCUAAAGUCCCUUGGACCGUGGCUAUCAAAGUCCGGCUCAGCCGACACUUUGUGCACUGUUUUACGUCUCUGGCGGAAUGUUUCCCUGCCUAGUGGCUUAAUCGCUGCUGGUGGAGAGCACCCGCCGAUGGGCUUUUGCCUGUCGCCCGUUUUAACUCCAAUGUGUGAACCUAUCCAGUCUGAAAACUUUCACUAUAACUAAUGUGAAAACAACUUUUGACAACGGAUCUCUUGGCUCUC